UUGAACGCUGGCGGAAUGCUUUACACAUGCAAGUCGAGCGGCAGCGCGGGGCAACCUGGCGGCGAGCGGCGAACGGGUGAGUAAUGUAUCGGAACGUACCCCGUCGUGGGGGAUAACACAGCGAAAGCUGUGCUAAUACCGCAUACGAUCUACGGAUGAAAGCGGGGGACUCGCAAGAGCCUCGCGCGGACGGAGCGGCCGAUGGCAGAUUAGGUAGUUGGUGGGAUAAAAGCUUACCAAGCCGACGAUCUGUAGCUGGUCUGAGAGGACGACCAGCCACACUGGGACUGAGACACGGCCCAGACUCCUACGGGAGGCAGCAGUGGGGAAUUUUGGACAAUGGGCGAAAGCCUGAUCCAGCCAUGCCGCGUGCAGGAUGAAGGCCUUCGGGUUGUAAACUGCUUUUGUACGGAACGAAAAGACUCCUUCUAAUAAAGGGGGUCCAUGAUGGUACCGUAAGAAUAAGCACCGGCUAACUACGU
rnacentral:rRNA from 1 species